rnacentral:rRNA from 1 species
GGGAAUAUUGGGCAAUGGGCGAAAGCCUGACCCAGCGACGCCGCGUGGGUGAUGAAGGCCUUCGGGUUGUAAAACCCUUUCGUGCGGAAAGAAUAGUCUCGUAGCGAAUAACUACGGGAUUUGACGGUACCGCAGGAAGAAGCACCGGCUAACUCCGUGCCAGCAGCCGCGGUAAUACGGAGGGUGCAAGCGUUGUUCGGAAUUAUUGGGCGUAAAGGGCGCGUAGGUGGUUGUGAUAGUCAGAUGUGAAAUCCUUCGGCUCAACCGAAGAACUGCAUCUGAAACUUCAUAGCUCGAGUACAGGAGAGGGAAACGGAAUUCCCGGUGUAGAGGUGAAAUUCGUAGAUAUCGGGAGGAACACCAGUGGCGAAGGCGGUUUCCUGGCCUGAUACUGACGCUGAGGCGCGAAAGCGUGGGGAGCAAACAG